GCGAAUGGCUCAUUAAAUCAGUUAUCGUUUAUUUGAUAGUACCUUACUACAUGGAUACCUGUGGUAAUUCUAGAGCUAAUACAUGCUAAAAACCCCGACUUCAGGAAGGGGUGUAUUUAUUAGAUAAAAAACCAACGCCCUUCGGGGCUCCUUGGUGAAUCAUAAUAACUUAACGAAUCGCAUGGCCUUGCGCCGGCGAUGGUUCAUUCAAAUUUCUGCCCUAUCAACUUUCGAUGGUAGGAUAGUGGCCUACCAUGGUGGCAACGGGUAACGGGGAAUUAGGGUUCGAUUCCGGAGAGGGAGCCUGAGAAACGGCUACCACAUCCAAGGAAGGCAGCAGGCGCGCAAAUUACCCAAUCCCGAUACGGGGAGGUAGUGACAAUAAAUACUGAUACGGGGCUCUUUUGGGUCUCGUAAUUGGAAUGAGAACAAUUUAAAUCCCUUAACGAGGAACAAUUGGAGGGCAAGUCUGGUGCCAGCAGCCGCGGUAAUUCCAGCUCCAAUAGCGUAUAUUAAAGUUGUUGCAGUUAAAAAGCUCGUAGUUGAACCUUGGGCCUGGCUGGCCGGUCCGCCUCACCGCGAGUACUGGUCCGGCUGGGCCUUUCCUUCUGGGGAACCUCAUGGCCUUCACUGGCUGUGGGGGGAACCAGGACUUUUACUGUGAAAAAAUUAGAGUGUUCAAAGCAGGCCUUUGCUCGAAUACAUUAGCAUGGAAUAAUAGAAUAGGACGUGUGGUUCUAUUUUGUUGGUUUCUAGGACCGCCGUAAUGAUUAAUAGGGAUAGUCGGGGGCGUCAGUAUUCAGCUGUCAGAGGUGAAAUUCUUGGAUUUGCUGAAGACUAACUACUGCGAAAGCAUUCGCCAAGGAUGUUUUCAUUAAUCAGGGAACGAAAGUUAGGGGAUCGAAGACGAUCAGAUACCGUCGUAGUCUUAACCAUAAACUAUGCCGACUAGGGAUCGGACGGGAUUCUAUAAUGACCCGUUCGGCAC
rnacentral:rRNA from 1 species